CUUGAUGAAAAGCUGGUCAAUGAGCUCCAACAAUUUAUAUAAAGGUUCACUAGAAUUAGGAAAUGAAGUAGUAUUUGAAGAUGAUAGAGAUGCAUCAAGAAACACCCAGUGGUGGUCCUCAUCAAUAGUGACUCUAUUCACAACUUCGUUAGUGAGUGGAUAGUAGAUCUGUUAUGGCUGUCAGUCGUGUCCACCUGGUCCUUUUCAAUUAAGGUUA
rnacentral:lncRNA from 1 species